rnacentral:rRNA from 2 species
UUAAGCGACUAAGCGUACACGGUGGAUGCCCUGGCAGUCAGAGGCGAUGAAGGACGUGCUAAUCUGCGAAAAGCGUCGGUAAGGUGAUAUGAACCGUUAUAACCGGCGAUGUCCGAAUGGGGAAACCCAGUGCAAUUCGUUGCACUAUCGUUAACUGAAUACAUAGGUUAACGAGGCGAACCGGGGGAACUGAAACAUCUAAGUACCCCGAGGAAAAGAAAUCAACCGAGAUUCCCCCAGUAGCGGCGAGCGAACGGGGAGCAGCCCAGAGUCUGAAUCAGCUUGUGUGUUAGUGGAACGGUCUGGAAAGUCCGACGGUACAGGGUGAUAGUCCCGUACACCAAAAUGCACAGGCUGUGAACUCGAAGAGUAGGGCGGGACACGUGGUAUCCUGUCUGAAUAUGGGGGGACCAUCCUCCAAGGCUAAAUACUCCUGACUGACCGAUAGUGAACCAGUACCGUGAGGGAAAGGCGAAAAGAACCCCGGCGAGGGGAGUGAAAAAGAACCUGAAACCGUGUACGUACAAGCAGUGGGAGCACCUUCGGGUGUGACUGCGUACCUUUUGUAUAAUGGGUCAGCGACUUAUAUUCUGUAGCAAGGUUAACCGUAUAGGGGAGCCGCAGGGAAACCGAGUCUUAACUGGGCGUUAAGUUGCAGGGUAUAGACCCGAAACCCGGUGAUCUAGCCAUGGGCAGGUUGAAGGUUGGGUAACACUAACUGGAGGACCGAACCGACUAAUGUUGAAAAAUUAGCGGAUGACUUGUGGCUGGGGGUGAAAGGCCAAUCAAACCGGGAGAUAGCUGGUUCUCCCCGAAAGCUAUUUAGGUAGCGCCUCGUGAACUCAUCUUCGGGGGUAGAGCACUGUUUCGGCUAGGGGGUCAUCCCGACUUACCAACCCGAUGCAAACUACGAAUACCGAAGAAUGUUAUCACGGGAGACACACGGCGGGUGCUAACGUCCGUCGUGAAGAGGGAAACAACCCAGACCGCCAGCUAAGGUCCCAAAGUCAUGGUUAAGUGGGAAACGAUGUGGGAAGGCACAGACAGCCAGGAUGUUGGCUUAGAAGCAGCCAUCAUUUAAAGAAAGCGUAAUAGCUCACUGGUCGAGUCGGCCUGCGCGGAAGAUGUAACGGGGCUAAACCAUGCACCGAAGCUGCGGCAGCGACACUAUGUGUUGUUGGGUAGGGGAGCGUUCUGUAAGCCUGCGAAGGUGUGCUGUGAGGCAUGCUGGAGGUAUCAGAAGUGCGAAUGCUGACAUAAGUAACGAUAAAGCGGGUGAAAAGCCCGCUCGCCGGAAGACCAAGGGUUCCUGUCCAACGUUAAUCGGGGCAGGGUGAGUCGACCCCUAAGGCGAGGCCGAAAGGCGUAGUCGAUGGGAAACAGGUUAAUAUUCCUGUACUUGGUGUUACUGCGAAGGGGGGACGGAGAAGGCUAUGUUAGCCGGGCGACGGUUGUCCCGGUUUAAGCAUGUAGGCUGAUUGUCCAGGCAAAUCCGGAUAAUCAAGGCUGAGGUGUGAUGACGAGGCACUACGGUGCUGAAGUAACAAAUGCCCUGCUUCCAGGAAAAGCCUCUAAGCAUCAGGUAACAUCAAAUCGUACCCCAAACCGACACAGGUGGUCAGGUAGAGAAUACCAAGGCGCUUGAGAGAACUCGGGUGAAGGAACUAGGCAAAAUGGUGCCGUAACUUCGGGAGAAGGCACGCUGGUGUGUAGGUGAAGCCCCUGCGGGUGGAGCUGAGACCAGUCGAAGAUACCAGCUGGCUGCAACUGUUUAUUAAAAACACAGCACUGUGCAAACACGAAAGUGGACGUAUACGGUGUGACGCCUGCCCGGUGCCGGAAGGUUAAUUGAUGGGGUUAUCCGUAAGGAGAAGCUCUUGAUCGAAGCCCCGGUAAACGGCGGCCGUAACUAUAACGGUCCUAAGGUAGCGAAAUUCCUUGUCGGGUAAGUUCCGACCUGCACGAAUGGCGUAAUGAUGGCCAGGCUGUCUCCACCCGAGACUCAGUGAAAUUGAACUCGCUGUGAAGAUGCAGUGUACCCGCGGCAAGACGGAAAGACCCCGUGAACCUUUACUAUAGCUUGACACUGAACAUUGAGCCUUGAUGUGUAGGAUAGGUGGGAGGCUUUGAAGCGUGGACGCCAGUCUGCGUGGAGCCAACCUUGAAAUACCACCCUUUAAUGUUUGAUGUUCUAACGUUGGCCCCUGACCGGGGUUGCGGACAGUGUCUGGUGGGUAGUUUGACUGGGGCGGUCUCCUCCCAAAGCGUAACGGAGGAGCACGAAGGUUAGCUAAUCCUGGUCGGACAUCAGGAGGUUAGUGCAAUGGCAUAAGCUAGCUUGACUGCGAGCGUGACGGCGCGAGCAGGUGCGAAAGCAGGUCAUAGUGAUCCGGUGGUUCUGAAUGGAAGGGCCAUCGCUCAACGGAUAAAAGGUACUCCGGGGAUAACAGGCUGAUACCGCCCAAGAGUUCAUAUCGACGGCGGUGUUUGGCACCUCGAUGUCGGCUCAUCACAUCCUGGGGCUGAAGUAGGUCCCAAGGGUAUGGCUGUUCGCCAUUUAAAGUGGUACGCGAGCUGGGUUUAGAACGUCGUGAGACAGUUCGGUCCCUAUCUGCCGUGGGCGCUGGAGAAUUGAGGGGGGCUGCUCCUAGUACGAGAGGACCGGAGUGGACGCAUCACUGGUGUUCGGGUUGUCAUGCCAAUGGCACUGCCCGGUAGCUAAAUGCGGAAGAGAUAAGUGCUGAAAGCAUCUAAGCACGAAACUUGCCCCGAGAUGAGUUCUCCCUGAGACUUUAAGUCUCCUGAAGGAACGUUGAAGACGACGACGUUGAUAGGCCGGGUGUGUAAGCGCAGCGAUGCGUUGAGCUAACCGGUACUAAUGAACCGUGAGGCUUAACCUU